AUUGAACGCUGGCGGCAGGCCUAACACAUGCAAGUCGAGCGGAUGAAGGGAGCUUGCUCCUGGAUUCAGCGGCGGACGGGUGAGUAAUGCCUAGGAAUCUGCCUGGUAGUGGGGGAUAACGUCCGGAAACGGGCGCUAAUACCGCAUACGUCCUGUGGGAGAAAGUGGGGGAUCUUCGGACCUCACGCUAUCAGAUGAGCCUAGGUCGGAUUAGCUAGUUGGUGGGGUAAAGGCCUACCAAGGCGACGAUCCGUAACUGGUCUGAGAGGAUGAUCAGUCACACUGGAACUGAGACACGGUCCGGACUCCUACGGGAGGCAGCAGUGGGGAAUAUUGGACAAUGGGCGAAAGCCUGAUCCAGCCAUGCCGCGUGUGUGAAGAAGGUCUUCGGAUUGUAAAGCACUUUAAGUUGGGAGGAAGGGCAGUAAGUUAAUACCUUGCUGUUUUGACGUUACCAACAGAAUAAGCACCGGCUAACUUCGUG
rnacentral:rRNA from 1 species